rnacentral:rRNA from 1 species
UACGUAGGGUGCAAGCGUUUAUCCGGAAUUAUUGGGCGUAAAGAGCUCGUAGGCGGUUUGUCGCGUCUGCUGUGAAAACUGGAGGCUCAACCUCCAGCCUGCAGUGGGUACGGGCAGACUAGAGUGCGGUAGGGAGAUUGGAAUUCCUGGUGUAGCGGUGGAAUGCGCAGAUAUCAGGAGGAACACCGAUGGCGAAGGCAGAUCUCUGGGCCGUAACUGACGCUGAGGAGCGAAAGCAUGGGGAGCGAACAGG